AUUGAACGCUGGCGGCAUGCCUUACACAUGCAAGUCGAACGGUAACAGGCCGCAAGGUGCUGACGAGUGGCGAACGGGUGAGUAAUGCAUCGGAACGUGCCCAGUCGUGGGGGAUAACGCAGCGAAAGCUGCGCUAAUACCGCAUACGAUCUCUGGAUGAAAGCGGGGGACCGAAAGGCCUCGCGCGAUUGGAGCGGCCGAUGUCAGAUUAGGUAGUUGGUGGGGUAAAGGCCCACCAAGCCAACGAUCUGUAGCUGGUCUGAGAGGACGACCAGCCACACUGGGACUGAGACACGGCCCAGACUCCUACGGGAGGCAGCAGUGGGGAAUUUUGGACAAUGGGCGCAAGCCUGAUCCAGCAAUGCCGCGUGCAGGAAGAAGGCCUUCGGGUUGUAAACUGCUUUUGUACGGAACGAAACGGCCCUCUCUAAUACAGAGGGCUAAUGACGGUACCGUAAGAAUAAGCACCGGCUAACUACGUGCCAGCCGCCGCAGUAACAC
rnacentral:rRNA from 1 species